UACGUAGGAUCCGAGCGUUAUCCGGAGUGACUGGGCGUAAAGAGUUGCGUAGGUGGUUUGUUAAGCGAGUAGUGAAACCUGAUGGCUCAACCAUUCAGACUAUUACUCGAACUGGCAGACUCGAGAACAGUAGAGGUACCUGGAAUUCCCUGUGUAGGAGUGAAAUCCGUAGAUAUAGGGAGGAACACCGAUGGCGUAGGCAGGGUACUGGACUGUUUCUGACACUGAGGCACGAAAGCGUGGGGAGCGAACCGG
rnacentral:misc_RNA from 1 species